GACGAACGCUGGCGGCGUGCUUAACACAUGCAAGUCGAACGGAAAGGCCCUGCUUUUGUGGGGUGCUCGAGUGGCGAACGGGUGAGUAACACGUGAGUAACCUGCCCUUGACUUUGGGAUAACUUCAGGAAACUGGGGCUAAUACCGGAUAGGAGCUCCUGCUGCAUGGUGGGGGUUGGAAAGUUUCGGCGGUUGGGGAUGGACUCGCGGCUUAUCAGCUUGUUGGUGGGGUAGUGGCUUACCAAGGCUUUGACGGGUAGCCGGCCUGAGAGGGUGACCGGCCACAUUGGGACUGAGAUACGGCCCAGACGGCUACGGGAGGCAGCAGUGGGGAAUAUUGCGCAAUGGGCGGAAGCCUGAUGCAGCAGCGCCGCGUGCGGGAUGACGGCCUUCGGGUUGUAAACCGCUUUCGCCUGUGACGAAGCGUGAGUGACGGUAAUGGGUAAAGAAGCACCGGCUAACUACGUG
rnacentral:rRNA from 1 species